UCAUUUCUUUCUUUACUGAAUGACGCAAAUGACCAUUACGACUUAUAUUAAUUCUCGCUGCCUUCUGCUGUUCGAACUUCAAUACUCCAAACCCUAGAAAAUUCAACCCCAAAAUUCCCAGAAAUUCAACAUCAAAACCCCAAAAAAUUGAUCGGUAAAACCCCUGAAUUCCCCAUUGCUACUUUGCUGCUGUUCAACCCCCUAAACGUCAGCGAAUUAAGAGUAAUACCUCGAGAAAUUCGUCUUCAUAACCUACCAAUUUGACCACUAAUAAAAAAUCCCAGCAAAUGUGAGGCAAAACCCCUUAUAUUCGAGCAAAUCCGAGCAAAAAUCCCCUACUUUCUUGCAAAAAAUCUACCCAAAAUCCCCACUAAAUUCAAUUGCAAAAAUCGAGCAAAUUACCUUAAUUAAAUUUGAGCAAAAUAACAAUUAAAAGUUAGGGUUUGUACUUAAUAAUAUGGAAUUUUGGCUCUAUUGUUGCUGAAGUUGCAUAUGCAAAAUCGAUUUCAAGCAAGGAACUGGUGACUUUAUUUAAACUGUUUGCAAGAGAAAAAGGAAGUGGAUUUCCAUUAUGGACUUGUUCGAUCGUGUUAGGGAAAAUGAAGAUUUUGUCCCUAAAUUGAAUUACGCUGGCUUCAAAUUCCAUAUUAUUUAUUGGAUUAUUUUGUUAUAGUUCUUAGGCUUGAAAUGAACGCAUUUGAUUUACCAACAUUUGGGUUGGUUUGGUGCUUGUGUUAUACUUAUUAAUUAAUGAUGAAGAGGUCAAUAUUGUUUUGUUGUAAACUUAGCGCAUGUUGGACUCUUGUUUUGGAUUAUAGGCUUGAAAUGAAAUUUGGUUAAUUGGUGUUGGGAUGAUGAGUAUAAUGUCUAUGAUAUUGAGAUGUAAAUUAUUGGACAGGUUGUUAAUAUAAUGUCGUCAUUCCCAAUUUUAUGGGUAGGCCAAAUUA